AAGCCUCCCCCUUCCUCCUCUUUCGUGAGGUAAAAUACAAAGAAAAAAUCAGUUUUGAAAUUUCUACUGCACUCCCACCAACAUGCCCUCCCUCAGAACCAAUGAACGUGGUCAGUGCUUGAAUCUAUUCGCCUCACGCAGACCUGAAGAUGGGCAAACGUAAUUGCAAAAGCCAUGUUGGCUUCUAUGAGUCACGAGUGGGCAGCGGGACGACGAAUUUGUUGCCAGCCAAUCGCAAGGCACCUAAAUUUGUUUUACAGUAUGUUCCAAGUGUGGACCAGCAGGCGAGCUGAGCUCUCCCCGUCCUGGCCAGGGGGGCUUUUGGCUCCAACGACAGAAUGAUGAUGUCAGCAGGAUGCAGACUCAAUUAUUCACCGGCAUGCCUCAUUUCCGAUGGAUUUAUUGACUGACGAGUUUGGAGCAUUUUUCCAGUGUACUCCUGCAGGAAAUAAUAUUCAUCUCAGCCAUGCUGAUGGAUGCAGAAAACAUCUUCAGGUCUUCAUGGCGCCAUCACUGUGAGCACAUUCCCGGUGCAGUUUCCAUGGUAACUGUCGACAGACUGCCGUUACCAGUGCAGAGGAUUGUGAGGUGAAUUACACGGGAGCAUCUGCUAGCAGGAAGACGAAGAGGAGGAGGAGGUGGAGGAGGAGAAGCAGGAGGAUGGGCUUUACUGCACUUCCUGUCUUUAUGUCUUGCUUCCUGUUUCCUCUCCUCAGUGGAUCCAUGCAUUCAUCCAUCCGUUUCAUGUUUUCUUGAACCUCGUUCUGCCUGCUAGGGCUUGUUUUUAAAUAUUCAUCUCUCCUUUGUCUCUACAUGACUGGAGAUGUUUGGCAAUACCACACACACAUAGUAGAUCUAAAAAGUCUACACACCCUAUUCAAAUGCCAGGUUCUUGUGAUAUAAAAAAAUAACCGUGUUGCACAAGUGUGCACACCCCUCCUAUAUCUAUGAUGAUGAUAAUGGAGAUUGCAGUGUGGUGAAAUAUUCAUUAGAGCAUGAACGUGACACACGCACGCGUUUUUGUGUGAAUACAUAACGAACACUCCUUUCAUACAAGGGCUCCUUGCAAAAGAGGCUCAGCCGGCCGUCAUUUAUCUUUUACUAAACGUCACAAUCUAAUUAAUGUUGGCAGGGAAUUAUUCACACUGUCCAACAGACAUUUGCAUGAAAGUAGAGGGGGGUCAAUGGUGCCACUGUACAUUAAAAAGACCCUUUGAGCUGU